ACCGCACAAAUACCACACUCACACCAAUCUCGUCGAGCGGCAGGCCCUGGACAUGGCCGUCGGAGGAUACCCUGCCGCGCGGCUCGCCUUCGGCUUCGUUCAGCCAUCUUCGAUCGGUCGCCCUUCCGCAUCGCCUCCUUCCAUUUUCCGCUUUCCCUGCCGAAAAUCGCGGCUGACGAAGAGACGGAGGCCGACAUUCCUUCGUCCUAUCUUGUCCUCUUUGGUGGAGAAAGGGGAGCAGAAACUCUCCUUCACCGAUCGAGAGUCCGUCCUUGUCGAGGCGCUUCUCGGGAUCCAAGGGCGGGGCCGCGCCGCUUCGCCUAUGCAACUUCAGGAUGUUGAGUUUGCCGUGGAAACCCUAGAGAGUAUUGGAGGCUUGCCGGAUCCUACAAGUUCUAGUAUGAUCGAAGGUUGCUGGCAGCUAAUUUUCACUACAAGACCUGGAACAGCAUCACCAAUUCAAAGAACCUUUGUUGGGGUUGACUUUUUCAAGAUUUAUCAAGAGGUCUACCUUAGAACAGAUGAUCCAAGGGUAUCUAACAUUGUCAGAUUCUCAGAUGCAAUUGGUGAACUGAAAGUAGAGGCAGCAGCAACGAUUAAAGAUGGGAAAAGGAUCCUUUUCCAGUUUGACCGUGCUGCAUUCUCGUUUAAAUUUCUACCUAUUAAGGUUCCAUACCCUGUGCCAUUCAGACUUCUUGGUGAUGAAGCAAAGGGUUGGUUGGAUACGACAUACCUAUCACACAAUGGCAACUUACGAAUUUCUAGAGGCAAUAAGGGAACAACAUUUGUGCUCCAAAAAACUAUUGAACCAAGACAAAGAUUGCUAUCGGCUAUAUCUGUUGGAGCAGGAGUAGAGGAGGCGGUUGAGGAAGUCAUUUCAAGUCAGAAAUUGGUCAAAAUAAAACCAGAAACCCUUGGAGGGGAAUGGCAAUUGCUGUGGACUUCACAGUUGGAAAAUGAAAGCUGGUCGUCUGUUGCUGCUAAUGGUCUUAAAGGUUUGCAGAUUAUAAAUGAUGGAAGACUAGAGAAUUUCGUUGACCUGCUUCCUGGCUUAAAGAUGUGUGCCAAUGGCAGUCUCAAGGGAUGGUAGAUGUUCUUGUCUACAGUCGGUAAAGAUGGAUAGUUGAUGAGAUGGUGCGUCUCUUGACCGCAAGAAGACCUCAGGAGUAAGUUCGAAGCCGUGAGCGGGCCUGCCACGUUAAAGAGAAUAAGGGAAGAGGAAAACACUAGUAGACAGGUCAGGUAAUACAAGAACAGUGAUGAAACACAAUGGGGAGCGAUGGGAGAGCUUAUCUUCGUGGGAAGAAGGAACUCCAAAUAUGAUAUUGUUUUCCUUAGCACGAAUAACGAGUAAAACACCAGAUGGAGGCGUGUACAUAGCGCGAAUGGAUGAUGGAGUCAUUAGACUCGGUGCAUUGGGAUUUUCUUUGAAAAUAGAAGCGGACAUCGAGAUGGAAUUGCUGUACAUUGACAACAAGAUCAGAAUAACUCGGUGCAACGGAUCCA